rnacentral:lncRNA from 1 species
GGACGAGAACAAGUUAACAAUAAAAACAAUAGGUAGGUUUUGUCAUAAUAGAGGCCAUUCGGGAUGAUGAUCGGGAAAAUUUAGACUGCCACUGGAAAAUGAUGGUAUAUUGGAUUGGGACAGAAAUUUUCCAUUGCAACAUGCCACCUACGGACUCCUCAAAGAGUUGAUGCAAGGGUUUUUAACGUGCAAAGAACGUGACACUCCCUUUACACGAGGCAUCGGAUUUAACGUCCCCAUUCUGACCGGACGUGACUGCGAAC